AAUUUAUGAAUUCAAAUAAAUACACACAGAAAGAAGACUGAACGAUCUUGAAAUUGUAGAAUACACGUAGCAGUGUAAUUAUAAAAAUAGAGGAUUCCGGGAUUGGGAUGGGGGAGCAUGGAGAAAAUAAAUUAAAGAAA
ensembl:ncRNA T06D8.12 ncRNA